rnacentral:rRNA from 1 species
AACGAACGCUGGCGGCAGGCUUAACACAUGCAAGUCGAACGGGUGUAGCAAUACAUCAGUGGCAGACGGGUGAGUAACACGUGGGCACCUUCCUAGAAGUACGGAACAACGCAGGGAAACUUGCGCUAAUACCGUAUAAGCUCUUGCGAGGAAAGAUUUAUCGCCUUUAGACGCGCCCGCGCCGGAGUAGCUAGUUGGUAAGGUAACGGCUCACCAAGGCGACGAUCCGUAGCUGAUCUGAGAAGAUGAUCAGCCACACUGGGACUGAGACACGGCCCAGACUCCUACGGGAGGCAGCAGUGAGGAAUCUUGGACAAUGGGCGCAAGCCUGAUCCAGCCAUGCCGCGUGAGUGAAGAAGGCCUUCGGGUUGUAAAGCUCUUUUGUCAGGGACGAUAAUGACGGUACCUGAAGAAUAAGCCCCGGCAAACUUCGUGCCAGCAGCCGCAGUAA